UACGGGGGGUGCGAGCGUUGUCCGGAAUCACUGGGCGUAAAGGGCGCGUAGGUGGUUUGAUAAGGGUGUGGUGAAAGUCCGGGGCUCAACCCCGGAUCUGCCGUGCCGACUGUCAAACUCGAGGGCUGUAGAGGCAGACGGAAUUCCGGGUGUAGCGGUGGAAUGCGUAGAGAUCCGGAGGAAGACCGGAGGCGAAGGCGGCUCACUGGGGCUUUUCUGACGCUGAGGAACGAAAGCCAGGGUAGCGAACGGG
rnacentral:rRNA from 1 species